GCACAUUUGUUCAGAGCUACUUACAACCUGGCAAACCCUAUCUGCUUAAACAAUGAGAUCUACAUUUCACUAAGGAGUACACUAGAAACCUUGUGACUUCAACGGAACGCCUAAAACAUUGCUGAUCAAGAUGGUUUUCAGUCCACUCUCAAGUUUACAACCCAGAGACUGGCACAAGACAAUCCAUGUACGUGUUUGCAGAAAAUGGGAAUUCCAUGGAAGCAAUGAAAAUGGUCCACUACAACACAUUGAUAUGGUUCUUGUCGACAACAAGGUAAACCAACCACUCAUCAUGUUAGAUGCAUGCUUUUUUACCCCUUUAGAGUUAUAGCAAAUGCAUACCUGCCUUGGUAAUGUGGAUUAUUUAUGCCAACACUGUUGGACCACAUAAUCUCAAGUGUUCCUGUUUUGUGUUAUCUACCUAUUUAAACUGUUGGCAACAAAACUU